ACCUGAUUUUGAAAUAUGUAAUAUUAACCCCUGACAUUUCUUCUUCUUGAGUCUUAAUUUUCUUUUUUUUUUUUUUUCUUCUAGUUCCACAGAGUAAUGAAAACCGUGCUCAGCUUUUCACCUUUUCAUUCAGUGCUUUUUGCGGAAUCCACAGUCACCCAGCAGUUCUCCAACUUUACAUUCAUCUUGACAAGAAACAGGGCAGUAACUUGGAGGAAAGAGGGACAAGGAGAAAAAGGAAAAAGAGAAGAAGUGGUUACCUGCUUUCACCAAGAGAAGUAACAGCACAUUCCCACCCGUGUUUGCCUGGGGGUGAAGACACUUAUGAAUCAAUGACCAAAAGUGAGAGAAGUAUUGCUAAUAGGAAUGAGAAGAACACAAAGAACAGAUUCCACAUUGCACUAACCUUUAAGAAACUACUUGCUGAGCUUUGGUGCAUUAUUAAAGAAGAUUAAAGAAGACUAUACAUGACUUUUGGAAAAGAUACUUAAAAG